CGGCUCGCGGCCUCAGCUGUUGCACCACAUAUGUCUUCUUAUCUCCGAGUCUGAGGCGGUUUUACACCAAAUUAUUUCAACACUAUAAUUGUUAUUUUCAAGCUGUCAACGACACGAAUGACCUUUCAGCAAGUGUUCACCAAGAUGAGCUGGAAACCUCCUCAGCCUGAAGGACAGCACUGUCAUCUGUAACUUGAGCUCAGACCCAGCAUGCAUUUCUCGCACCCUUCAGACUGUGACACCUUCAGUACUGGAAGACUCAUGUUAAAGGGGUUUAACCAGCAGCUUUGAGAAGCAUUCAGAACCAUUAGAAGGAAGAUGCUUGCAUGAGAUGUUUGUUGUGUCAUGCAAGGGAUUGCAUUUCUUACCAGGAAAUAAAAAAUAAGAAAUGUCAUAGUUACUGUACAA